CGCCCACCGGAAGUGGCAGGAAUUCCCAGGCUCCACGUGACGCUUUGGAAUGCGGUGGUGACGUCAUCCCCGGGGGUGGGGGUCUCUCUGUCUCUCUCUCUCUUUGCAAGAAAAAAAAAUACAAAUAAAGUUUGGAAAGGAAGCAGGAGCAGAAGCGGCGGACCCAGUUUUCGAUGGUUUUGGGGUCCCAAAAAGUAACUUUUCCACGUCCUGAUAGAUUCUGAAUGUUUCUGGGAAGUGUCAGGCAAGAAAGUAACUUUUCUCCAACAUUCUGGUUCCUUCCCAUUUCCUCC
rnacentral:lncRNA from 11 species